GACGAACGCUGGCGGCGUGCUUAACACAUGCAAGUCGAACGGAAAGGCCCUGCUUUUGUGGGGUGCUCGAGUGGCGAACGGGUGAGUAACACGUGAGUAACCUGCCCUUGACUUUGGUAUAACUUCAGGAAACUGGGGCUAAUACCGGAUAGGAGCUCCUGCUGCAUGGUUGGGGUUGGAAAGUUUCGGCGGUUGUGGAUGGACUCGCGGCUUAUCAGCUUGUUGGUGGUGUAGUGGCUUACCAAGGCUUUGACGGGUAGCCGGCCUGAGAGGGUGACCGGCCACAUUGGGACUGAGAUACGGCCCAGACUCCUACGGGAGGCAGCAGUGGGGAAUAUUGCACAAUGGGCGGAAGCCUGAUGCAGCAACGCCGCGUGCGGGAUGACGGCCUUCGGGUUGUAAACCGCUUUCGCCUGUGACGAAGCGUGAGUGACGGUAAUGGGUAAAGAAGCACCGGCUAACUACGUG
rnacentral:rRNA from 1 species